rnacentral:lncRNA from 1 species
CUAGCCCAGUAAAGAUGUCACACUAUCUCACUGUCACAGAAGUAAAGAUUGAUAGAAAAUAAAAUCGACCAAUUGAGCAUAAUUUAUAACAAAUUCAUUUAUCAAUAAUAAAAUUUUUUACUGUCUACUUACCUCGGUGACAUUCAUGAAAACAACUUAUGAAAACAAUAACAUUAUAAACAUCAUAAGAUCGUGCACACUCUGUAACUUAACACAUAUCAUACUUUUGUAUUUCAAUCAUUAGGUAACAAAUUUUCUCUUUUAUCAGCCUACUAGUAUCCAUAGGGAUCCAUAAAGGGUCCCCGCUAUACGUGAACCAUUCACCUUAAUUCCAGGGCCGUCCCUAUACCCCGUUCGGUAUGAGCACCAAAACCAUAAACCUCAAUACCCCGUCCGGUAUGAGGGUGAAGUUGGCCGUCCCCAUACCCCGUCCGGUAUGAGCGCUAAAACAUUUAAAGUCUCCAUACCCCGUCCGAUAUGAGAGACCCUGUUCCCGGUAGUAUUUCCUAUGGACUCGGUCCAUCCACAAUCUCCCAAGAUAUCUAGUGAGACUGUCAACUUAUCCAUUUAUAAAUUCACAUACCCUUUUUAUUUUUCUUAGUCUCAAUUACCCAAUCAACAUGAAUACGUAAACUAGUAACGCAUACCAAACAAGGCAACACAACGUCGAGUUCACAAUAAUUCAAACCAUAAUAUAUUAAACAGUGAUUCAUGCAUACGAAACCACAGAAUAAACAAUCCAAUACUAUACUGCAUUUAGACUGUAGAAUACAUCAAACAGGAACAGACCGACAAAUA